CUACGGGUGGCAGCAGUGGGGAAUAUUGGGCAAUGGGCGCAAGCCUGACCCAGCAACGCCGCGUGAGGGAAGAAGGUUUUCGGAUUGUAAACCUCUGUCCUUGGGGACGAAGAAGUGACGGUACCCAAGGAGGAAGCUCCGGCUAACUACGUGCCAGCAGCCGCGGUAAUAGCGUAGGGAGCAAGCGUUGUCCGGAAUUACUGGGCGUAAAGGGUGCGUAGGCGGCAUAUUAAGUCAGGUGUGAAAUACUCGGGCUCAACCCGGGGGCUGCAUUUGAAACUGAUAUGCUUGAGUGUGAGAGAGGAAAGUGGAAUUCCUAGUGUAGCGGUGGAAUGCGUAGAUAUUAGGAGGAACACCAGUGGCGAAGGCGACUUUCUGGCUCAUAACUGACGCUGAGGCACGAAAGCGUGGGGAGCAAACAGGAUUAGAUACCCGAGUAGUC
rnacentral:rRNA from 1 species